rnacentral:lncRNA from 1 species
AAGGUUUCCAGUUAUAAGAGAAAGUAGGUGAUGUUUUUCUAUUGGUGGAGUCAUCUACGUAUAUAUUUACUAACCACAUACAUAUGCACCGAGUAUUCGAUUCCAUAUCAACGGAAUAGUAUAAAAAUAUAACCCUACCUACAACCUUUAAAUACUAAACAUAUUUCAACUCUAGUUAUCCCUAAUCUCACAACAACCUCUAAAUAUUACACUUUAAACUCUAAUCAGUAAACCCUAAACUCAAGUCUAAACUCUAAACCCAAAUAUAAACCUUAAACUCAAAUAUAAACUCUAAAUCCAAAUAGAAUUGAACAAAAUAAAUAACAUAGUACAUAUUGGUGAAAUUAUGAAAUAUAUGUGAUUGCAUAUAAGAAGUUAAUGCUGACCCCAAUCAUAUCCCUUCAUCUUCUAAAUACUAAACCAUAAUCUCUAAUCACUAAUC